CUGCCAGUGUUGUCCGGUUGUUGUUCAGCAGUGACUCUGACCUGCUGGCAGAUGCCUGCUGGGCUCUUUCCUACCUAUCAGAUGGUCCCAACGAGAAAAUCCAAGCAGUUAUUGACUCGGGAGUGUGUCGGCGACUGGUGGAGCUCUUAAUCCACAACGACUACAAAGUGGCCUCUCCAGCUCUGCGAGCAGUGGGUAACAUCGUGACGGGGGAUGACAUCCAGACCCAGGUGAUUUUGAACUGUUCAGCCCUGCCUUGUCUCCUUCACUUAUUAAGUAGUUCCAAGGAAUCACACAGGACAGAAGCCUGCUGGACUAUAUCCAACAUCACAGCAGGAAACAGAGCGCAGAUACAGAUAGGGUCUUCUCCAACCCACCUGCAGUGAAGCUCAAUU